rnacentral:lncRNA from 1 species
AAAGUACAAGAAGAAGAAGAAGAAGAACAAGAAGAAGAAGAAGAAGAAGAAGAAGAAGAGAAGAUGAGAAGAGGAAGAAGAAUAGAAGAAGAGGAGAAGUAGAAGAAAAAGAGGAGGAGAAGAAGAGGAGAAGAAAAGAAGAAGAAGAAGAAGAAGAAGAAGAAGAAGAGAAUAAGAGGAAGAAGAAGAGGAGGAGAAGAAGAAAUAGAAGAGAAAUAGAAUAAAAUAGAGGAUGAGAAGAAGAAAUAGGUUAGCUAGUGUGCUAGGUUAAAUUUGUUUUUUGUCAUUUAAUUG